GUGGGAGUAGAGUGCGUGUGUGUAUAGUUUACGCUUAUUCGGGUGCAUUAAUAUGAUAGUUGUUUACAAAACUGAACGGAAAUGUUUACAAAGAAAAUUGUAUCUGAUGCUUUUUCAUUCAUACUUCCGAUUCGGACAUAUAUUAUAUGUAGAACGAUUCUUGUUUCAAUUACUACUUGAUUAGACACAGACAACGUAAAUAAUUAAAGGUAUGCAUGUACGUGU
rnacentral:lncRNA from 1 species